rnacentral:rRNA from 1 species
GUCCAGACUCCUACGGGAGGCAGCAGUGGGGAAUAUUGCACAAUGGGCGAAAGCCUGAUGCAGCAACGCCGCGUGAAGGAAGAAGGGUUUCGGCUCGUAAACUUCUAUCAACAGGGACGAAAGAAAUGACGGUACCUGAAUAAGAAGCCCCGGCUAACUACGUGCCAGCAGCCGCGGUAAUACGUAGGGGGCUAGCGUUAUCCGGAAUUACUGGGCGUAAAGGGUGCGUAGGUGGUUUCUUAAGUCAGAGGUGAAAGGCUACGGCUCAACCGUAGUAAGCCUUUGAAACUGGGGAACUUGAGUGCAGGAGAGGAGAGUGGAAUUCCUAGUGUAGCGGUGAAAUGCGUAGAUAUUAGGAGGAACACCAGUUGCGAAGGCGGCUCUCUGGACUGUAACUGACACUGAGGCACGAAAGCGUGGGGAGCAAACAGGAUUAGAUACCCUAGUA